rnacentral:rRNA from 1 species
GACAGAGGGUGCAAACGUUGUUCGGAAUUACUGGGCGUAAAGCGCGCGUAGGCGGCUUUGUAAGUUAGAGGUGAAAGCCCGGGGCUCAACCCCGGAACUGCCUUUAAGACUGCAUCGCUUGAAUCCAGGAGAGGUGAGUGGAAUUCCGAGUGUAGAGGUGAAAUUCGUAGAUAUUCGGAAGAACACCAGUGGCGAAGGCGGCUCACUGGACUGGUAUUGACGCUGAUGUGCGAAAGCGUGGGGAGCAAACAGG